rnacentral:rRNA from 1 species
UACGAAGGGGGCUAGCGUUGCUCGGAAUCACUGGGCGUAAAGGGUGCGUAGGCGGGUCUUUUAAGUCAGGGGUGAAAUCCUGGAGCUCAACUCCAGAACUGCCUUUGAUACUGAAGAUCUUGAGUUCGGGAGAGGUGAGUGGAACUGCGAGUGUAGAGGUGAAAUUCGUAGAUAUUCGCAAGAACACCAGUGGCGAAGGCGGCUCACUGGCCCAUAACUGACGCUGAGGCACGAAAGCGUGGGGAGCAA